CGGGGUAGAGGCCCGCCGCGGUAACGACGGGUAACGGGGAAUCAGGGUUCGAUUCCGGAGAGGGAGCCCGAGAAACGGCUACCACUUCCAAGGAAGGCAGCAGGCGCGCAACUUACCCUAAUCUCGAUUCGAGGAGGUAGUGACAAGAAAUACCGAUGCGGGACCCUACGGGUGCCGCGUUCGGAAUGAGUACGAUUCGAACCACCUAACGAGGAACGAUCGGAGGGCAAGUCUGGUGCCAGCAGCCGCGGUAAUUCCAGCUCCAAUAGCGUACGUUAAAGUUGCUGCAGUUAAAAAGCUCGUAGUUGAACGUUCGGGUUCCGCGGGACGGGGCCGCCCCGCGAGGGACGGCGCCGCCCCGGGGCUCGUGAUAUCUUAUCUCGCCGCCCGUCGCGAGGCGGACGGAGGGAUGGAUGAGGUUACCUGG
rnacentral:rRNA from 1 species